UGGGGAAUAUUGGACAAUGGGCGCAAGCCUGAUCCAGCCAUGCCGCGUGAGUGAUGAAGGCCCUAGGGUUGUAAAGCUCUUUCACCGGUGAAGAUAAUGACGGUAACCGGAGAAGAAGCCCCGGCUAACUUCGUGCCAGCAGCCGCGGUAAUACGAAGGGGGCUAGCGUUGUUCGGAUUUACUGGGCGUAAAGCGCACGUAGGCGGACUAUUAAGUCAGGGGUGAAAUCCCGGGGCUCAACCCCGGAACUGCCUUUGAUACUGGUAGUCUUGAGUUCGAGAGAGGUGAGUGGAAUUCCGAGUGUAGAGGUGAAAUUCGUAGAUAUUCGGAGGAACACCAGGGGCGAAGGCGGCUCACUGGCUCGAUACUGACGCUGAGGUGCGAAAGCGUGGGGGGCAAACAGG
rnacentral:rRNA from 1 species